UACGUAGGGUGCAAGCGUUAAUCGGAAUUACUGGGCGUAAAGCGUGCGCAGGCGGUUUUGUAAGUCUGUCGUGAAAUCCCCGGGCUCAACCUGGGAAUUGCGAUGGAGACUGCAAGGCUAGAAUCUGGCAGAGGGGGGGUAGAAUUCCACGUGUAGACAGUGAAAUGCGUAGAGAUGUGGAGGAACACCGAUGGCGAAGGGCAGCCCCCUGGGUCAAGAUUGACG
rnacentral:rRNA from 1 species